rnacentral:rRNA from 1 species
AACGAACGCUGGCGGCAUGCCUAACACAUGCAAGUCGAACGAGACCUUCGGGUCUAGUGGCGCACGGGUGCGUAACGCGUGGGAACCUGCCCUUAGGUUCGGAAUAACUCCCCGAAAGGGGUGCUAAUACCGGAUAAUGUCUUCGGACCAAAGAUUUAUCGCCUUUGGAUGGGCCCGCGUUGGAUUAGCUAGUUGGUAGGGUAAAAGCCUACCAAGGCGACGAUCCAUAGCUGGUCUGAGAGGAUGAUCAGCCACACUGGGACUGAGACACGGCCCAGACUCCUACGGGAGGCAGCAGUGGGGAAUAUGGGACAAUGGGCGAAAGCCUGAUCCAGCAAUGCCGCGUGUGUGAUGAAGGCCUUAGGGUUGUAAAGCUCUUUUACCCGGGAUGAUAAUGACAGUACCGGGAGAAGAAACUCCGGCUAACUCCGU